rnacentral:lncRNA from 15 species
AUGGUGGAUAUUUGUUGGCGCUCUGGCAGGGAUCCUCACCGGCCCCCGUGGGAUACAUGGAGCUUGUAUCUACGAGGGAUCGUUGCAUGCGUCUUUGAAGAUGUACUGCAGCGGUUUCUUCCACAAGGACUGCAGAGUACAACCCUGUGGAGCUUUUCGUCUUUUCGUCUCUCCAAUGCCACCGUCUCGCCGCGGGCUGAUCAUUUUCUGACAAGGACUCGCAGCUAUAACUGUCAGAGCUUUUGAAUAACUCGACGGUGACCUUCACAAACCACGUCAGGCUGAAACAAUGGAGCUCCAUUAGUGCUGUACAUCAACGGAGUGUCAGAGAGGAGCAGAAGGAGGAUUGUGGAGCACUGACAGUGAAAGACACCGGAUAGAAAUAAACAUUUUGUCUGUUUUCUGUUUUGAAGUCCAGAUGGAUUCACUGCAUCACCAGGGGUACAGCUUUUUGGAAAGGACCUACAGAAAUAUGAUCCAAACUAACUCUAAAUGAAAACUUUUAAUUAAGUUCAUUCAAAGUUAAAGGAGGCAGAAAGUGAACUAAAUAUAUCAGGAGUCAAAGUCAUUGUUCACUGAAGCCUUAAAUCUCAAUAUGUGGUAUUUUAUGUUCAACAUGAUGAACAUUAUCCUACGAUAGAGGAAAUUUCUGUGUUUGCCCCCAUUCUCCCUUUCCUUUUCAUUAUUUCUUUUCAUCUUUCCUCUCAUAUCUUUCUCUUCUACAUUCUUUCCUCCUUUUUCCCUUUCUUCUGCAUUCAUUCUUUCAGUUUUUCCUUUAGCCUACAUUUCGUCUUUCCUUGUUUUCUUAACUCCUGUCCUUCUUUGUAUCCUUUACUCUAUUUGUCUGUUUCUACAACCUUUUUCCCUCUUUUCUUUCUUUUCCUAUCUUUAAUAAUUCUACUUUCAUUUUCUUUCCUUUCUGCUUUCCUUUCUGUUCUCCUGUCUUUCGUUUACCUCUUUGUUCCAAUUUCUUCAUUGAUCCACCCUAAAACAGUUUUUUUGAGCUGUAAACUGAAUAAAUGACUAUACUGUGAUGAAAUGCAUCAAUUGACAUUUUUACCAAAUUUAUGAAACCAUUAUCAUUUUGUGGCUUAAAAAUGGCUCAACAUGCCCUCUACUGUUUUAAAUCAACCUUAACAUUUUAAGAAAAAUGUGACCAUUCAAACCAUUUUUCAAAUGUAUACUGAUCGAGAGGCAUCAUUCACAGAAGUUUAUGCUAGUUUUUGCUAACCCUCUACUUAGUAUAUUGCUAUGCUGAUGCAGUGGUUCGGACUUGUGCUAAAAGCACCACCGUACUGCAAUGUUUACCUUGAUCCCACGCAUUGACGAUCCCCCCACAGACACAUACAGAGAGUAGCUAGCUCAGCCACAACACAGGUGCCACACAGAAACCUUUACAAACAACCGUCAAAGUGCUUUGAGUGACUGUAAAAUCACUCGAUGGACAGUGAGUGAGAGUCUGACAGCCGCAGCCUCAUUAGCUCUGACUACCAGCUCGCUGUUUUUGCUACACUGCAAUGGUCAGUCUGUAAAUCACUCCGGUCGGUGUCGAGCCCCCCCCCCCAAGUCACUGUCCUUUGCAUUUUUUAAAUUUACUGAGAGAAUUCUGCACUCUACAUAUACUAUACACUUUAUUUAUACUAUAUAUAAUAUUUUUACACUGUAGUAUGAGUAGUUCUACUUCCUCUGCCACUGUGUUACAGUAUUUAAAGAUACCUGGCUGACAGUCGCUCUCAUCAGGGAAAUAAACAGCCCUGUCCCAGGAGCCUUGUGUGUUGUUAACAUUUAUUUUUCUCAAGAUGACAGUCACGCAGACUCGGCUCUGAUCCAAGCACCAGUUGUGCUUCAGUCUGAAGAAUUAGCAACAUCAGAGAAGACACGGUCGAAGAAAACGCUCUUUCAUUUCAACUUGUAUUCAUCGCACACUUGGUAGGACAAAGGGAUGUUCGCGGAUGAGGUCAGACCAAAAAAACCUGCCUGUCGUAGAGCAGAGGCCAUGAAUGAGGCCUUUGUGCUCUGGGAGUCCUCCCAGCGCUUCCAGAGCGACCAAACAGCCUCCAAAAGCACGCUUUUGUGCAGCCUCAUUUGUUCCCCUUUUGGCUUUAGACUGACUCUGCUGUCCCUGUAAGAGGUUUACAGUGUCAGCCUGCUCCUGAAAGUCAGAGCCAACCUGCAGCUCUUUUAAAAGGGAUGCAGUACCUACAUCAACCCCAACAACACCUCCACACACCUUCCCUCCCUGCCUGCACAAACACACAAACACGCACACACACACACUG